AGAGUUUGAUCCUGGCUCAGGAUGAACGCUAGCUACAGGCUUAACACAUGCAAGUCGAGGGGAAACGACAUCGAAAGCUUGCUUUUGAUGGGCGUCGACCGGCGCACGGGUGAGUAACGCGUAUCCAACCUGCCCACCACUUGGGGAUAACCUUGCGAAAGUAAGGCUAAUACCCAAUGACGUCUCUAGAAGACAUCUGAAGGAGAUUAAAGAUUUAUCGGUGAUGGAUGGGGAUGCGUCUGAUUAGCUUGUUGGCGGGGUAACGGCCACCAAGGCGACGAUCAGUAGGGGUUCUGAGAGGAGGUCCCCCANAUUGGAACUGAGACACGGUCCAAACUGCUACGGGAGGCA
rnacentral:rRNA from 1 species